rnacentral:rRNA from 1 species
AACGAACGCUGGCGGCAGGCUUAACACAUGCAAGUCGAGCGCCCCACAAGGGGAGCGGCAGACGGGUGGGUAACGCGUGGGAACAUACCCUUUUCUACGGAAUAGCUCUGGGAAACUGGAAUUAAUACCGUAUACGCCCUACGGGGGAAAGAUUUAUCGGGGAAGGAUUGGCCCGCGUUGGAUUAGCUAGUCGGUGGGGUAAAGGCCUACCAAGGCGACGAUCCAUAGCUGGUCUGAGAGGAUGAUCAGCCACAUUGGGACUGAGACACGGCCCAAACUCCUACGGGAGGCAGCAGUGGGGAAUAUUGGACAAUGGGCGCAAGCCUGAUCCAGCCAUGCCGCGUGAGUGAUGAAGGCCUUAGGGUUGUAAAGCUCUUUCACCGAUGAAGAUAAUGACGGUAGUCGGAGAAGAAGCCCCGGCUAACUUCGUGCCAGCCGCCGCCGUAAAAC